rnacentral:rRNA from 1 species
AGGCGAGGCCGAAAGGCGUAGUCGAUGGGAAACAGGUUAAUAUUCCUGUACUUGGUGUUACUGCGAAGGGGGGGACGGAGAAGGCUAUGUUAGCCGGGCGACGGUUGUCCCGGUUUAAGCAUGUAGGCUGAUUGUCCAGGCAAAUCCGGAUAAUCAAGGCUGAGGUGUGAUGACGAGGCACUACGGUGCUGAAGUAACAAAUGCC